rnacentral:rRNA from 1 species
UUACGGCCAUAUAGCAUUGAAACACCUGUUCCUGUAUGAUCACUGAAGUUAAACAACAUUGAGCCUGGUCAGUACCUAGAUGAGUGACUGCUUUGGAAUAUCAGGU